UACGGAGGGGGCUAGCGUUGUUCGGAAUUACUGGGCGUAAAGCGCACGUAGGCGGACCGGAAAGUUGGAGGUGAAAUCCCAGGGCUCAACCUUGGAACUGCCUUCAAAACUAUCGGUCUGGAGUUCGAGAGAGGUGAGUGGAAUUCCGAGUGUAGAGGUGAAAUUCGUAGAUAUCAGGAGGAACACCUGCGGUGUAGACGGCUUACUGGACCAUGACUGACGCUGAG
rnacentral:rRNA from 1 species